UGUGGAAGCACAGUAAUGUGUGUAGCUAACCGAUACUAAUAGCUCGAUUGAUUUACUUUGCUGUGAGAUUACACAUGCAUAUGGUGUUAAUUCUAUAAACAUGUAAGUAUCAACUCACAAAGUUAUCAGGUUAAAUUAGCUUUAUCAACCAAUAAAGAUGUUGUUACAUGUCUCUUUCUAUGUUGUUCCUGUGAAAGUAAGAAUCUAGAAAAAGCCAUGCAACAAUGUUAACAGCAGACUAAUACAAAUCUAUCUUUUUAAAAGUUUGUAUUGCUAGCUUGGUGGUUAUAGCAUGAGUGAAACA
rnacentral:misc_RNA from 1 species